rnacentral:rRNA from 1 species
GCUCAGGAUGAACGCUAGCGGCGCGCCUAAUGCAUGCAAGUCGAGCGAUGAGGCCCUCUUCGGAGGGUACAUCAGCGGCAGACGGGUGAGUAACACGUAGGUGACCUGCCCUAAAGAUGGGGACAACGGAUGGAAACAUGCGCUAAUACCCAAUGGACCUGUACUGUCGAAGGUAUAGGUAAAGCUUCGGCGCUUUAGGAGGGGCCUGCGGCCCAUCAGCUAGUUGGUAGGGUAACGGCCUACCAAGGCAAAGACGGGUAGGGGGUGUGAGAGCAUGACCCCCCACAAUGGGACUGAGACACGGCCCAUACUCCUACGGGAGGCAGCAGCAGGGAAUAUUGCACAAUGGACGGAAGUCUGAUGCAGCGACGCCGCGUGGAUGAUGAAGGCCCUCGGGUCGUAAAAUCCUUUUCAGGUGGAAGAGGAAGGACGGUACCCCUGGAAUAAGCGUCGGCUAACUACGUGCCAGCAGCCGCGGUAAGACGUAGGACGCAAGCGUUAUCCGGAUUUACUGGGCGUAAAGCGUCUGUAGGCGGUUGGGUAAGUUGGGCGUGAAAGCUCCGUGCUCAACGCGGAGAGGUCGUUCAAUACUGCCGAACUAGAGGACAUCAGAGGAGCAUGGAAUUUCCGGUGUAGCGGUAAAAUGCGCAGAUAUCGGAAGGAACACCAGUGGCGAAGGCGGUGCUCUGGGGUGUGCCUGACGCUGAGAGACGAAAGCUAGGGGAGCGAACAGGAUUAGAGACCCUGGUAGUCCUAGCCCUAAACGAUGGAUGCUAGAUGUGGGGCCGAGAAGGCUCCGUGUCGCAGUUAACGCGGUAAGCAUCCCGCCUGGGAUUACGGCCGCAAGGCUAAAACUCAAACGAAUUGACGGGGCCCCGCACAAGCAGCGGAGCGUGUGGUNUAAUUCGAUGCUACACGAAGAACCUUACCUGGGUUUGACAUGUAAGUGGUAGUGAAGCGAAAGCGGAGCGACCCUUCGGGGAGCUUACACAGG